AAGAAAGUGGCAGAUAUGGUUAUGCAUCUGGUUUGAAACCAGGACAUGGGGGUUCAAGUCCCUCUUUUCUUG
rnacentral:tRNA from 1 species